rnacentral:tRNA from 1 species
GCCGCGGUCGCCUAAUGGUAUGGCGGGCGGCUCAGACCCGCCGUCCGAAAGGACUUCUGGGCUCAAAUCCCAGCCGCGGCG